rnacentral:lncRNA from 1 species
UGAUAUUAAAAAAAGCAAAAAAAAUUAUUUGGGUAGCAAACUAUCUAACCCGUAAAUUAGUGGGUUUACACGAAAAAUAUGUGAUUAUUUUUUACAGUGAAAAAAGUUACACUAUUUUUCAAGAAAAUAAUAUGGUUCAGUUAUUUUUAUGAAAAAAUAUGAUGAUUCGACAUUUAAAUAUUUAAUAUAAAAAAAUAGAAAAAUAAUUUGGGUAACCCACUACCCAACCCAAUCCAACCCGGAAAUUGGUGGAUUUACCCAACCCGGCCCAAUGUUAUAACGGGUGGUUAUUUU